AAGUAACAACUCUUGGCUCAGUGGAGCCAUUUGAAUGUCAUUUUGUAUAAAUCAGCAUGCAUUCCUGACACCCUAACUCCCACAAUGCAAAAUAAAAUAAGUGAGUUAGUGAAGCCAACUGCAGUGGCUUUCAAACCCAGGAUUAAGUACAUGACAUGCAUGAAAAUUUUCAUGCCAAUCCAUUUAUUAACAUCCUAGGAGAAAGGAGCAAAAGUGGAGAGAUUUGUAAUCAGAUGUCAAGGUGGGAAAAGAGACAGAGUGGGACACAGAGAAAGAGGAACAGAGUCAAAGAGAGGCAGAGACAGUGGGAAGACUGAACUGACAGUUGGGGUACCUGGAUUUGAGUUAGCACAGUCACUGACUGUGUGAUUUUGGUACUACCGCAGUUGACCGAAAGCAAUGAAUUCUAAGGAUGGAAUUUCCGGCCCUGUGACAGCUAGUGCUGCUGCUGGUCCUGGCCCCAGGAAAGAUGUGUGUGUGUGCGUGUGCCCAGACGUGCAUGUGGAUGUGGAUGGGGAUGGCAGAAUUCUUCUUCCAACUGAAGAUGAGAAGUCUUAAGUUUGUGGACAGAAGGAAAAUGGGGAAACUCACUAUAGUUCCUGAAUCUUUUUGGGCCAUGGAUCUUCCCCUUCUGCAGACUGGUUAAGUCUAUUGAUCUCUUCCCGUAGGACAGUAGCAUUUUUUAAAUGAAUAAAAUAAAAUCAAUAGGAUUUCAAAGGAAACCAAUUCUAUUGAAACAAAAGCAGAGUUUUCCCCCUUAUUCAAGUUCAUGAGUCCCAGAUUAAGAAUCCCUGCACUAGAUGCAGUCAUGAGUCCCUGAGGGAGAACUGUUGUUCCAGGGGAUGAAAUAAAUACCCAAUCUACAAGAGUAUUCCUGGUUGAAAAUUCAUCUUUUGUGCCUCCUCCUAUUUUCACUACACAAAACUGUGUAUGUACCUUAUUGGACUGUGAGUUCUAUGAAGGCAGGGACAAUGCCUUAUUUCAAUGUUUUAUCAGCCUCUU